AAAAAAAUACCGGCACUCAAGGAGUUUCCAAACAUAAAUCUUCUUUUAUUCCAAAAGCGACAUCGAAUAAAAGAAGAUUUAUGUUUGGAAACUCCUUGAGUGCUGGUAU